UUUUCUUCUUAAUCGUCUUUUUUUUUCAUCAAAAAAUAAAUAAAUCAAAAGAUCUUCUUAUGCCCAUAAUAUUUCAAUUUCUCCAUGUGUAAAAUAUUUCUACCAAAGAAGAUCUCUUUAUCAUCCACUGGAUAUUGAAAAGACGGUUUGUUAUUAUAUUCGUUCUCUUAUAGUUUGUUUUUUUAUAGUCUAUCAAUUUUCAUCUAAAUUUCUUUUCAUCCAAUUGGUUUUUUUAAAUCUGGGUUAUUGAGAAAUGUUUCAGAUUUUUUAUUUUUAAUUUGUAGUUUUAGGGUUAAUUUGUGUAAAGAUUAGAUUAACGCUCAUUAGAUUCAUCAAAUGGUUUUAAAGCGCAGUAAUUGCAGCGUUUAAGAUUUUCAAUCUACAUUUCCAAGGCUCCAGUUCGAGCCACAUAUUUCAAUCUCCACUUCACCCUCCCAGUGUCAUUUAUUUGAAGUUAUUCUUCACAUUCAAUGUGAAACCGUUUCUUUUACUGUAAAUUAAACUCCCUCUUAACUCAUGCUUCAAAAAAAAAUUGAUUAUUUUCUUUCAUCUUUUUUAUUUUUUUUCUUCUUCAUCGUCUUUUUUUUCCAUCAAAAAAUAAAUAAAUCAAAAGAUCUUCUUAUGCCCAUAAUAUUUCAAUUUCUCCAUGUGUAAAAUAUUUCUACCAAAGAAGAUCUCUUUAUCAUCCACUGGAUAUUGAAAAGACGGUUUGUUAUUAUAUUUGUUCUCUUAUAGUUUGUAUUUUUUUUUAUAGUUUAUCAAUUUUCAUCUAAAUUUCUUUUCAUCCAAUUGGUGUUUUAAAAUCUGGGUUAUUGAGAAAUGUUUCAGAUUUUUUAUUUUUAAUUUGUGGUUUUAGGUUUAAUUUGUGUAAAGAUUAGAUUAACGCUCAUUAGAUUCAUCAAAUGGUUUUAAAGCACAAUAACUGCAUUGUUUUCGACUUAAUGUUUGUAUUUCUCUCUGCUCUCUGAAUUAGAAUUUCAUUUUUAAAUUUGUAUGAUGAAUAUUUUUAUUUGUUCUCUUAUAGUUUGUAUUUGAAAUCUGGUUUUUAAGCGCAGUAGCUGCAUCGUUUUCGACUUAAUGUUUGUAUUUCUCUCUGCUUUCUGAAUUAGAAUUUCAUUUUUAAAUUUGUAUCGUGAAUAUUUUUAUUUUCCCCCAAUUAAUUUUAUUUUAGAUUAUCAAGUUUUGUUUGAAUUUGAUUUUGUGCAUCCCACUUCCUCUUAACAAGAAUUAUAAAGGUUGAUUAUUUUUCAAGUUCUAUAUUUUAUUGUUAAUCCUGUAGAUUUACUUUUUGGUAUGAUUUCCAAGUCUCACUUGAAUUGUUAAUAUGUGAGCACUGCCGGUUGAAUUAGCUUUUAGUUCAUCGUACUUCUUUUUUUGUUUAUGGCAAUUUUUCCGGCUUUAUCUAACCCAAAAAUUUUCACUUUUUGUAGACUUCGAAUAUGGUCAAAUCGAAGUUGAUUCUACGAACAAAAUACCGAUAAAUAGACAUUUUCUGUAUCCAACUGCAUAAAUCAUUUUUAGGUAUUAUAUUAUAAUAUGAAUAAUUAUAGAGGCGAUCCAACUGGUAGAUUAGGUUCUUUGAUUUUCUUAUUUUGAUUUAACAAAAAUGACGUUUCAAACAUUUAUAAAUUAGUCUUACUUUGUUGUCCUUCGUUUACUUUGGCACUCUUGGAUUUACAAUCUUUGGUCCAUUUUUGUUGUAUUGGUAAGUUGGAGUCUUUUGGCUGUUUUUCUUUUGUUGUAUUUGUUGUUCUGGUGGGUAUGUGAUGAUUUUAGUCCUUUUUUUACUUGAGUUAGAUCUGUUAGCAGUCUAAUUAAUUUCUGAAUUUUAGGUUAGUUUAUAAAAUAUUUUAAAAUCUUGCCUUUGUAUUUUGCUUUAUUAUCAUUCCAAUUUUUCAAAUUUGCAGGUUCAUCGAAACUUUUUUGGAGAUGAAAUACCACCUAAAGCAAGGGAGAAAGGACACAGGUUGGUUUUCUCUGUCGAGGUAAAUACCAAUAUUUGAUUAUAUACAUCGAGGUUUGGUAAAAAUCUUUUCAUUACGUAUUAAUUCCGGAUGAAUUUAGCACUGCAAGAGUCCAUUGUAGAAAUGUUCACAAAGUAUAAUAUAGGAUAUCAUUAUUAUUAACAUGUUAUUUAGAGGGUUUGCGCAAGGUCAUAUUCGUUUGCCAGAUAUAUAUAAGGUCGGGUGAAAGGUUUAUUCGCGUUUCUGUACUGUUGGUCUCACUACAAGCUACUUUUGGACCCUUAAUACCAAUAUUUGAGCUUGGAUGAAGUAUAAAAGUUCAGUAUUUUUUUCCAAGGACCUACUAUAUGUUCAGUUCGUACAAUUCUCAAUAAGUUUUAAGCUCAGUUUUGUAUAACACCACAGAGGUUGGAGAAAAUGUAAAUUAUCAAUUAUGUGAAUGCUUUGACAGAAGGUCUACAGAUGUUGACAGGAACAAGGAGGUUGUAGAAUUGUUCAUCGAAACUUUUUCGUAGAUGAAAUACCACCUAAAGCAAGGGAGAAAGGACACAGGUUGGUUUUCUCUGUCGAGGGACCUACUAUAUGUUCAGUUCGUACAAUUUUCAAUAAGUUUUAAGCUCGGUUUGUAUAACACCACGGAGGUUGGAGAAAAUGUAAAUUAUCAAUUAUGUGAAUGCUUUGACAGAAGGUCUACGGAUGUUGACAGGAACAAGGAGGUUGUAAAAUUGUGAACUAUUGGAACUCAUGCUUUUGCAAAUAAUUUUUUCCAUUUGAUCGUUGGCAUGUUGAUCUCGAUGAAAGAUUUUCCUAACAACAAUCCACUUAUACAUAUAUCGGCAAUCAUUCUAGGAAAAAUUGAAAAAGCGUGUAGGCAACCGCGACAUGUUGGAUUUUGGGAACAUGAACACCAGCAUAUGUGUCACCUCUUAUAUUCUUUUUCUCCAUGUAUACAAUUUUAGAACUUUUGUUCCAAAGUUUCAAAGAACUUUGUAACGGUAUUGGAAUAAUAUGGGGUAGUAGUCAUGUAAAAAUUGUUGUCGUUCAAUUUUAAUGUUUCCAUAUUUUACAAAUAUUUACAUAAAAAUUCCACAAUUCCGUCAUUUAUUAGAGCUUUACAUAUUUUUGGUUAAUUAUUAGUUUAAAAAUAUGCAUCGAAAACAAAUUUAAUUAAGUAUGCUUCAUCUAGGAAAACAUGACACAAUGUAAUAAUACUGGAGUUAGAUUUAACAGGACAUAUGUCGAAAUAGAUAAGAAACAAUCGUUCGGCAACACCGAGAACAAAUUAAAUCCCGUGCCAUCACGUCACGGGUCAUAUCCUAGUAUAUAUACAUGUAAAGAAAGGCGAUUUCCUUUUUUUUGGUGUGUCAACGAUUUCCUUUUCU